rnacentral:rRNA from 1 species
GAUCCUGGCUCAGGAUGAACGCUGGCUACAGGCUUAACACAUGCAAGUCGAGGGGCAGCAUGAACUUAGCUUGCUAAGUUUGAUGGCGACCGGCGCACGGGUGAGUAACACGUAUCCAACCUGCCGAUGACUCGGGGAUAGCCUUUCGAAAGAAAGAUUAAUACCCGAUGGCAUAGUUCUUCCGCAUGGUAGAACUAUUAAAGAAUUUCGGUUAUCGAUGGGGAUGCGUUCCAUUAGGCAG